CUCUCGAGUGCGUCAGGCAUAGCUUUAUGCACGAAGACAGCGAAUUCAUGACCAGAGUUUAUGUAACCGAAAGGCAUACGGGUCCAGGUAUACUGCUGCUUUCCAAAUGUGAAGACCAAUUUGUAUUGGUCUUCAUCAUGGACUGGUACAGUCCAAUAUCCUUGCGCACAGUCAAUGGCAGUGAAUAUUUUGGAUCCCUGCAUUUGUACCAAACAUUGGUCUAUGUAUGGCACUGGCCAACCAGAC